rnacentral:rRNA from 1 species
UAUCUCUGUAGAGUCUGCAUAUCAAUAAGCGGAGGAAAAGAAACUAACAAGGAUUCCCUUAGUAACGGCGAGUGAAGCGGGAAGAGCUCAAAUUUGAAAUCUUCAAGGUUUUACCUUGACGAAUUGUAGUUUAAAGAAGUGUUUUCUGUUGGAAGUUUUCGGUAAAAGUUCUUUGGAAUAGGACAUCAUAGAGGGUGAGAAUCCCGUAUUUGACCAUUAUUUCCAGCUGUGUGAUACACUUUCAAAGAGUCGGAUUGUUUGGGAAUGCAGUCCAAAAUGGGUGGUAAAUUUCAUCUAAAGCUAAAUACUGGCGAGAGACCGAUAGCGAACAAGUACCGUGAGGGAAAGAUGAAAAGAACUUUGAAAAGAGAGUUAAACAGUACGUGAAACUGUCAAAAGGGAAGCGUUUGACACCAGUGUUGUUUUCUCGAAAAUCAAUUAAAAAUGGCGUGAUUUUGUGUUGUAUUGACCUUAUAAGCUUUCUGCACUUUUUUCAUGUCUUUUUUAAUGCACUUUUCGUUUAACAAGUCAACAUCAAUUUCUUUUGUUGUAAAAGAGUCAUUGGAAGGUGGCUUUCACUUUCGGAUGAAAGUGUUUAUAGCCUUUGACUUCCUGCAAUCGGAGAGACUGAGGUCUGCAGCGUAGAUCCUUCUGGGAUUAGAUUCAUUUGUGCUAAGUUAUAGCUUUUUAUAGACAACAUUGUUGACUAUGAUUAAUCACUUGUAGCUUACUCGCUUAUGCUAUUUUACCUACGCUUAGGAUGUUGAACGCGCACAGAGUCUC